rnacentral:rRNA from 1 species
AGAGUUUGAUCCUGGCUCAGAUUGAACGCUGGCGGCAUGCCUUACACAUGCAAGUCGCACGGGCUUUGGGGCUUGCCUCAAAGUUAGUGGCGAACGGGUGAGUAAUAUAUCGGAACGUACCCUUGAGUGGGGGAUAACCAGUCGAAAGAUUGGCUAAUACCGCAUACGAUCUAAGGAUGAAAGUGGGGGACCUUCGGGCC